UAAGCUCUUAAUUAAUGCACUGAGAGCUUAGGAGUCCCACCUCUCAACAGGAAUGAUUGACGUCCGAGGAUACAUAAAUUACACUAAUUGAGCCCUGCCUCUACACAGGCUUCCUACAGCCAACUCAUCAGAGAAGCUAGGCUUGUACCACAACCAGUACCUUUGCUUGACAGCUCUAAUGCAUAAAGCCACAGAACUGAGGGAGAAGACAGCUUUUUGAUUUCCUACUCUUCUAAGACAAAGGGAUUUCGAAUUUCUGUGCAAGCAAAAAAACUCAA